AUCGCUUCUAGGCCUUUUGGCUAAGAUCAAGUGUAGAAGUUGAACUUGAAAGAACUUUCAAAACUCUUUAAGCUUUAAAGUUCUUUUUGAUAGCUUUGCAUUGUUUUAACUAUCUAUAAUGUUUGAGAUUUAUAUAAGUUCCAGGUGAACCAAU
rnacentral:snRNA from 1 species